CCCCUCUUAUUCCGGCAUUCUGUAGUUCAAUCCACAUAUGAUACCCCCGUUUUCCAUUUGAUACCAAUGCAUACAUAUGUAGUGUAGCUCCUUGCUUGCGAGUACUUUGGAUGAGUACUCACGGUUGCUUUGCUCCCUCUUUUCCCCCUUCCUAUACCCGAUUGCUGCGACCAGACGAUGGAGCCUAGGAGCUAGACGCCACUGUCGAUGAUGACUACUACUACUCGGGAGGUGCCUACUUCUACGUGCAGCCCGCUGACGAUGACCAGGAGUAGUUUAGGAGGAUCCCAGGCAGGAGGCAUGCGCCUCUUUCGAUCUGUAUCCCAGUUUGUGCUAGCCUUCUUAAGGCAAACUUGUUUAACGUAUGUCUGUACUCAGAUAUUGUUGCUUUCGCCGACUCGUCUAUGAUCGGGCUCUUGUAUUCGAGCCCUCGAGGCCCCUGGCUUGUAAUAUGAUGCUUGUAUGACUUAUUUUUAUUUGUAGAGUUGUGUUGUGAUAUCUUCCCGUGAGUCUCUGAUCUUGAUCGUACAUGUUUGCGGGUAUGAUUAGUGUACGAUUGAAUCGGUGGCGUCACAAGUUGGUAUCAGAGCCGACUGCCUGUAGGAAUCCCCCUUCCACACUCCUUGGUCGAAGUUGAGUCUCGUUGAUGAAAAUUGUUUUACUAACUUGGCUGUGCGGCCCAUGGGCCCAUGUCGCCAUUGGGUGGUAUUAAUAUCUUUUACUCCUCAAUCUAUACUCUAGGACUCUGAUCUCUCUACUAUUCAGGUUUAAUGGUUUUACUAAAUCUAACUUUAGGUUCUCGAUAAUACUUUCUCCCGGAGGGCCCCUCAUUCCAGAUGAUCGCCUGCUACACCAGAAGAUUCCGAAGAUAGUCUCUGAUGUUCUCUCAAGACUUUGUGCCCGUUGCUUUUGUAAUUCCCUACCACUAAAAUAUCCCUAUGGAUAAAUACAUACACCUGUCGUUCUUACUUUUAUUCCAAGUUGAUCUUGUUAUUACAAGAUACCUCGAACUUCUCUCUAUUGCUCUGAGAAAUCUUUGUGCUUACUGCCUUGUAGUUCCUUGUCGCCUGAAUACACCUACAACCUAAUCCUCACACUCACCAAGGAUUUGUUUCUCCCCAGUUGUUCAUGUGUGCACAAAAGUCUUCGAAAUGCUAUUCAAUCUUUCGAAAAUCCUCAGCAAGCUAUUGCUCUUGAAAUUCUUGCUUGCCUGCAUUAUGAUUAAUCCCAUAAGUCUGGUAAUCUUAUUGACAUCCCUUGUCUUUAUUAUCUUAAGUCUGUUGAUUCAAUAUGUUGAGGAUGCUCGCAUUCCUCAGUCAAAUCCUAGAAUUCAUCCUUCUGGCUCAGACGUCAUUUUUAAACAUGAGCUGGAUCUCGACCAAUCAAAUUGUCGUCGAUUGUACCCCUUAGGCUAUUCAACUUAUCCAUCCCUAAUCAGAGCAUUGCUUCUAAUCCCUUGUCUUGGAAUUCACAAUUCCUUUGCAUUUGAGCCUUGAGUUAGUCAGUUGUUUCUAUAAUCAGAUGCACAUGCAUUCCUUCUUCCUUUGAUAGAGUACCGAUGCUCACAUCAGCUCCAUUGUAGACCACCAGACCUCUUGUUGGAUUAUUAUCCGACAGUGUCCUUCAUAUUCAAGUAACCUUGUGAGCCUUUCCACGGAUAUAUAAAGCCUUUGGUAAAUUGUAUCCUCUGCUUCCUCAACCAUGCUCUGUUUGAAGCUUAUGGUAUACGUUUUCACGAUACCCUCACGGGUUGAACCUAUGCCUUCCUUAUUAUGUGUGAACUCGAAAGUUUUCACGAGUCAUACUCUUCUGGUAUUUUGCUAAAUAAAAUUUCUACACUACAGCUUCAUCAAAAGCGAGAAGUAAAAUGAAAGGUUAUGCAUGGAAGAAGUGGGAGUCGACCUUGAGCCUUUGCGAUCAUGCCCAUGGACCCGAUGUGAAACUUAUCAUCGAAGCUUCUUGUAAAUGAUAUUAAUCCCCUUGUUAUAAGUUCGUCCUGUAUCUAUGUUUGAUCCUUUGCAAUCAUGGUUCCGACCAUAUUUUCUCAUUAAUAUCAUUUAUCGGACAAGUUAAGUACUUGUCUUGUGUAGAUCAUUGCACCUGUCCAACCUUUACGUUGAUCUACCGUCGAGUAUUACACUAGGAUAUCUUCAUAAUGUCAUGGAACUGCAUAACUUCUUAUGGGUUCUUCAUCAACUGUUAAUUCUCACCGAUUUCAAUUUUUCUGGGUUCUGGGUUGUCGUCAACCGAGAACACCGAUAUGUGAACCGAUUCCUCAUGUCAGGACCCCGACUCGAUGCCACAUAGAUCUAGCAUGUAACACUUCAUAUCACUUUGCGGCCUCACGCAUGGUAUUCCCACGGGUGUCGCCUUACCUUUACCCGGGACCGUUUGCGCCUUUUGGCACACGUAUAUGACAGUGUCGCUAGCAUCCAUAUGAUAAAGAGCCCGGGCUGACAUGACUAGUCGUAAACCCAAAGUGGCACAGACUUACAGGGACAGGCAUCCAUGACCCAGCUUCGAACGUGUCGGUCAUCAGCAAGUGGGUCCGGGCUGUAGCACUGGGCUAGCAGGACUCCGGUAAACCGGGCUGUAGCGGGCUAACAGGACUCCGAUACUCAAAGCGUGACAUUUCCCCGAAGGGACAGACACAGGAACGAAGAAGGACACAUGCCGGCCAACCUAAGUGUUCCGGAGCAGUAGCAAGCUACCAUGGCUCAGUGGAACACUAGGAGACAUUUCCCGGUAAGAGAGGCUACUAAAGAUAAACAACUAGAUGGUCAGAUCCCACACAUACCAAGCAUUUCAAUAACAUACACACAAUAUGCUCGAUAUGUGCAAUACAACAUGGCAUCACAAAAUGACUCUACGACUCAAGUAGUUUAUUCAAUAGGCUCCGAGGAGCGAGACAUUACAAACAUGGGUCUCACGACCCAACAAUCAGAGCAUACAAGUCAAAGCACAAGCGGAAGCUAUCAUGUCUGAGUACAGACAUCUAUAAAUGAAAAAGGCUGAGAAGCCUGACUAUCUAUCAGAUCCUGCCGAGGGCACAAGAUCGUAGCUGAGGUAUCAAGCUAAACGUCGAAGUCCAAGCGGAACUACUAAUGAGACUGAAGUCUCUCUGCAAAACAUAAAAUAUGCAAACGUGAGUACAAAUGUACCCAGCAAGACUUACAUCAGAACUAACUACAUAUGCAUCAUUAUCAACAAAGGGAUGGUGGGGUUUAACUGCAGCAAGCCAGCUUUGACUCGGUGGCUAUCCUGAACUACGACUGCGAGUAACUUUUUGAGGUGGCGCACACGAGUCCACAUAUUCACCAUAUCAAUACACCACUAUGGAUCCGCUCCCGUCUCCCUACGAGAACGCCAUCCAUAGCACUCACGCUUAUCUUGCGUAUUUUAGGGUAUCCACUUUCACUUGUCUAUGAACUGAUAUAAGCAACCCAGAAGUCCUUUUCCGCGGACACGGCUAUUCGAAUAGAUCAUAUUAACCCUGCAGGGGUGUACUUCUUCACACACGCUCUCACCACUUACCGCCGUUUACACGACAUGUACUCGGCAACCUUCAAGCGGAAGCCCAACGUGGGUGUCGGCCACGGCCUGCCUAAACACUCGAGUCUCUAGUCCAGGUUUAUCGCCUAUUCGGGUUCCAUCCAUGAGGAGAUCCGGCCGGAGUUUCGCUCACAGCCCCAAACGAUGUGAACAGGGUUCCGUGACACCAAACGGGCGUCCGGUUUACCCGGCCACGUGCCUACCGCAUCACAGCCCACCCCUACGGUCAGCGCUGCGCACGGCCUCCAGCAUACUACAAACACCAGAAACUACUUGCAACUCCUGGACAGAGGACAAGGGUGAUUAAGAAGCCGAGAGGGUCCAUUGGUUUCGGGCCCAAUGCGUGGUAGUAGCUGAAUCAUGGAUCACAAACACAGAACUCAGUUCCUGAGGACGGCUGCAAUGAGACAACCCACCAUGUACUCCUACAUGGCCUCUCACCGCUACCUUUACCAAAUCGUGUUCACACACUUAGCUCACGCACAGUAGGACAUGUUCACACACCUCUGAUUCAUCCCCGAUGAAUCAGACCUGACUCAACUCUAAGCAGUAGCAGGCAUGACAAACAAGCAUGAAUGAGUAGGCACAUCAGGGCUCAAACAACUCCUACUCAUGCUAGUGGGUUUCAUCUAAUUACUGUGGAAUGACAGGUCAUGCAGAGGAUAAAGGGGUUCAACUACCGCAGCAAGUAACAGAUGAAUCGAUGUUGUCCUAAUGCAGUAAAAGAGAGCAGGAGCGAGAGAGUAGGAUUGUAUCGGAAUGAACAAGGGGGUUUUGCUUGCCUGGCACUUCUGAAGAUAACAUUGAGUCUUCAUCAGUGUCAACGAUCACAUCAUCGGUACACGUCUAUCGAGAGGGGACAAAUACCGGCAAAUACGGAAAAGACACGAUCAAUGCAAUGCACAAUAUGAUGCAUGCUAUGACAUGGCAAUAUGAAUGUGUUUUGGGCUAAUGCACCUAAAACCAGAUUAAAUGAAGUUGGUUUGAAUACAAGAUUCAAAUUCAAACUCCAUAUGUGAUUAUUUAAAUGCCCUUUAAUUGAUUUGCCCUAAACAGUAGUGAUAAGUUGUUCUAACAUGCAUGAAAAUGGUACAGAUGGAUUCCUUGGAUUUUUCUGAUAAUUUUUCAUAUAUAAAUUAUUUAAUUUGGAGUUACGGUUAAUUUACUAUGAUUUUUAGAAGUUUUAGACAUUUUCUGGAAUUUUCUGAUUAUUUAGAAUUAAAACAAUUCCAGAAAAUUAAUUAUGACAUCAGCACUGCGUCAUGCUUGCGUCAGCAAGUCAACAGGGCUGCCCCGGGUCAAACCUGACCAGUGGGGUCCACUGGUCAGUGACACAGGGACUAAUCCCGCGUUGACCCGGGCUGGUUAGCUCUGACUAAGCCCUGGGGCCCACUGUCAGUGGCCUAGGGGGUUGGUUAGCGGGGUAGUUAGGCCCUAAUGACUGGCCACGUCGGCUCCUGCUGGAGUUUCGCUGGCGGCGACCAUUAGCGCGGCGGCGAGAGUGGUUUUGGCCACUCCGGCGACCAAAUGGGCCGCGGAGGGCAUCUAGGAGGAGCUGGGGACGAGCCGAAGCUCCUGGUGGAGUCAGUUGCGCUCGGGGCGGCCGGAAUCGGUGUCGGCGGCGAGCGAGGCGGCGGCCGGAGCUCGGUGGUUGCGGCUGGAAGGGCUAGAGGGCACGGCAGGUUGCACGGGUGGGCGCGCUCGGCCCCUGGAAGGGUGCUGAGCACGUUGCCGUGCUCGGGAGUUGGCUACGGUGACUCUAGCACCGUCUGCGACAUCGCCGGCGGCGAGGAACUGUCGGCUCCGACAGCCGGGGUGGUUAUAAGGCACGGACGGGCACGGGGAGAGAGGCGAAAUGGACAGGGGCUCACGAGGGGUCGGGAGAGAAGCUCGGUGGGCUCGGGGAAGCCUCUGCAACGACGAAUUGACGACGGCGAUCUCCGGGCACCGGAGAUGAAGACGACGACGCUCCGGUCAACUGCGGCCUCCUCUGGUCGCGUGCGUCGCGUGUGUAGCUCCACGGGGUCAGGGCGGAGCUCAGGGAUGCAUAGUGGGAGCGAGGGGGUAGCUGGCCGCGGUGUUUCUCAGCGGAGUGGCCAUGGCGGCUUCGGCCAUGAGGGGAAAGAGCAGGGGAGUGAGAGGGAGAGAGCAGGGAGAAGUGAGAGGGGUCGGGGCUGCGUGGCGUCGCGGGAGGAACCAGGGGAGGAGGAGGCAGCAGGAGGUGGAAGCAGGAGGUGGCGCUCGGGCGCGGGCGCGUCGACACGCCUCUGCCUACUGGCAGAGGUUGAAGAGGGUGGGGAGCUGGGCUGGGCCUCACAGGUGGGCUGCACAGGGGGGCUGGGCUGGCACAGGUGAGCGCCAGGUAAUUCCCUUCUCUUUCUUUAUUUUUAUUUCUAUUUUAGUUACUGUUUUCUAUUUUCUGUAAUUGUGUUUGGAUUUAUUAAAAAUGCCAGAGCAUUUCCAAAAAUCAUGCAACUGACUGUGGCCACUGUUUGGAAUAUUUCCAGCAGUAAACAUUUCAGUUUGUGAUUAUUUGAGCAUUUAAAAUAUUAUUAGCAAUUAAAUGCCCAAAUGCAAAUACUAUAUAAUUUAAUUCAAAAAUCCAGGAAUAGCCUAUAACUAUGUUCAUCAUUUUUUGGAAGAGGUUUUCACCUCUAUCAGAAAUUAUGAACAUUUCCAAAGGGCAUUCUGGGUUAUUGAAAAUAUUUUUAUUGAACCUAGUUAAAUUUCAUUUGGUACUAGGGUUUCAACAAUCCCCAUUUCAAAUUUCUUUGGAAUUUAAACAUGAUGGCAUGAUGAACAAGCAAAGUCAAGCAAGGGCUGAACUGGGGCUGUGACAACUCACCCCCACUAAACAAGAAUCUCGUCUCGAGAUUCAGGCGUAGGGUAAGGUGAAAGGUAAACGCAACUAGUAUAAUCUUCACGAUCCAGGGUGCACUUCAGUUGAACGUUGAUUCAUUCACCAUCAUUGUCUUGAUGUCUUGCUCUGAGAAAUCCUGCCAACAUGACAUGGAGGGAAGAAGGAGACUCUAGAAGGGUCGAUCUUCUCGAAGAUCGAACAACUCACGGAAAGAGACAUAGGACCAACUCUCGGGUUGAGACACGAGAUACACAUCAAGAGGGGUGGAAAGAAGCGGAUGGCGAAGGUUCACUAGGUAGACAACAAUUCCACACCUAGGAAGGUGCUAAACGAUUGUCAACGUAGCGAGGAGUUGAGUUGCCAUGAUACCACGACGAAACAUCCUGGAGGAGGGUGAUUCGUAGAUUAUUAUCUUAAGUGGCAAAAAGAAUUACUUUUGAUUCAGAGAUCAUUGGAACUCUUUAUACCAGCCUAAGGUAAUCACAAGCGAUCAUUUGGAGGGGGUCGGUAGAAUGGCAUACUCGGACUUGGAUGAUGUGGAUUAUCUUGUUGAAGACAACGCAAUGGAUGAAUUUACUUAUCACCGGAAAUGGAAGGGACAUUGGUGGUGCAAGCUGGGAACAAAAUGCAAAUGCUGGGAAUGAUUCUGGUAACUGGGGAAGAACCCAACAAUAGAGAGUGAAUUCACUGUUGGAGUGGUUAUAGCAUAACCGAGGAAAUCUGGGGCAAUCCCAGCUAGUGCCGAUGAUAAGACGUAGCGCUUGUGCGUGCUCUCAAGAACUUGAGCAUUUCCACAAUCAUCAAGGUUUUAUCAACAACCGCGUCAAGGGUGCUGACAACACAACAUACUACCAUGAUGAAUAGCGAUGGACGAUGCAGAUGCGAAGGAGGAUAACACUUUCUCAGAUUUCACCUUAGCGAGGCCAAGCAAAUAAAAUCUGGAUGAUCGACCGAGAGACAUUUAGCACUCCGCUUCUAAUGUUCUCCUUGAUGUGCUAGUAUAACCCAUUCAUAGAUAUGGUUUGAUAUCUAAAACAUCAAGUAAAAGGUCGGACUUCGGGAACACAAAAAUCCAUAGGGGCAACUAGGGGGUAAAUCCUACGAAAUCCCUAGGGGGGGGGUGGCCAACUUCCUCAAACAAGAUACUAUAAUAAUAGGUCUACCAGAUGGGUGUGUUGGCCACGACAUCCACCUUACCGGUUAUCGAGAGACCAAUAUUAUAGUUCUUAGGGAAAUGUUCCAACCAUCAUAUCUGCCUGAGAUUCAGCUCUGGUUGGUGUUAGGAUAUUCCAGGCUCAUCGAGUCUUAGGAAGAAAAAUGAAAGUUUGCAACACAAAUCGACGAGAUGACGUUGCGGGAUUCUCGGGAGAUGAACUACGAUAGCAAGCUCCAAAACAUGAGCUGGUUCUGCUACAAACAUGUGAACACGUUGUCCCAGACAAGCAUGACCACGUGGUAGUCUUAUAAUAAAACACUACCGAGUUCAGGAGGGGGAACCAUCAACGAGGGUAUCGAAGUUCUUUCAUAAGUCCGGAUUAGCUCUUAUGAAGGAACUCCUUCUCCUUGAACAAAUCAAUCAGUGGCUUGGUGUGCUAGGAUACACAUAUGGAAUGAAGGUUGCAAGUCUCCAGACCACAGAAUACUUCGCACGUGUGCAUGACUGACUUGCGAUGAUUCCAGAGGAAGCAACAUUGACUUUCUCGAGUCCACGGCGGCAACUUGCAUCAAAUACACAUGAACUAGAGGAAGUCACUUCUUACAUCCGAACAUAUGCUUCAUGAGCUAGCAUGAGCAAAUGCUUACACAAGUUUCCAACACUAGCUUGAUGUUCAACAAAAUUAUGGAGAAGACAAGGAUGUUGUCAAUGGGCUCAACAACAAUUCAUCUAGGUUUCCUUUUAAAAGGAAUUCCAUAGUUAAGUGAACACGGUGAUAGCAUUGGUCAGACCAAAGAUAUAACGGUGUAUGCUCGAGGAAUCAACCACGAGUAAGACAACAUUACGAAUAUUGUUGGUUCUGAUUUGAUUUGACGAUAGCCCACACUCAAAUCAAAGGAUUGAUAAGACAAUAGAUCCAGCAACUGAUCACAGGGACCAAUCGAUGAAGAUAUCAUCUUUCUUCAACACACACUACACAAGAAUAUCCCUUUGGAACGAACUAAGUCAGGCAAGCUUUUAUCUUCCAACUCUCCAAGUCGUUGUCUAACUUAACCAACUAGCUCAGGGAUAUCCAACACAGAUUCUUGGAGAAGGAUGGUUCACAAAAACCAACUUGAUCACGAGCUCAACAUAGCGGUCAGGUGACAACCUGGUAAUACUUCUAAGAAGAUAUUCAGAGAAUCACGAGCCACCGGUAUGUUACUAAGCUCGAGAACAAUCUUGCUUUUCAGGGCAAGACGAUAUGAUCAAUAGAGUAAGAAUUUGAAAUAAUCCUAACUCAUCGAUCGAGGAGUGAACCAGGAGAAUGGACUAGGUAGCACGAUCAAUCUUAGAAUGAUGAUUCAAUAACCAACACACUAAGAAUAAAAUUAUUGUCCUUUAACUACCCAGCAACGAGGUUGCUAGGCGUAUUGAUUUCACACAUCACAAUUCAUUUGUCGGUAUUCCGGUUGCAUCAACACGAAGAUCGAGGAAUGAACAGUGAUGGCACGAAGUGUCACUGUACCAAGAGUUCAUGGGAUGGUGUGCAAUUCCUAUAACAAUCUCGAUAUAAAAUAUGUAAUACUCCAAGGUAGAGCAGAACCAAAAGCUGGAUUGGCAUUUGAUCUGCGGAAUACAACUACUUUGACCCAAUCCUAGAUAUGGAAGAGGUACUGGAGUUUGUUUCUCCUAUUCAUUCUGAAAUAGAAUGGCCUGGCGGACCACAAGGGUAAUAGGCAUCGACGAACGAAUGCACACAUACUCUUGACUAUCAAUUGAUAGACGAGGGUCAGAAGACAACUAAAGAGGGACAACUCAAAGGAACAUACGAUUUUCUGAGUUGUGGAUGCACGGUUUAGCAUGUCGAACGAAUUCCACAUAUUUCUUCCGGAUAACCCAUGCAGAAAGGUAGCACUGGCAGAGUCACAAUGUAGAAUCGAGAACCUAUCGAGAGCACUCUGAUUGUGAUCUUUCGAUCAGCGAGGAACAUCUGCCAUAAGCGGUUCAUAGUAUUUGGAAGAAGGAAAUACCACGGACCUCGAGGACUAUCGCAAAGUUACUAAUAUCCUAAAGGCACUAGCAAUUACUAUCAACAUGAAGUAGGUAGAGUGAAUCUCGGGUUCAAAGCUCAAGGAGUAGAAUACCUACUACUAAGUAGCAUCACAGGAUGCUUUCGAGAAUGAUGGCCAGAAUCAUCACACUGGGAACACAAAUCAUGGCUAAAUUACUAGAUGAUCCCCUAAGACACCUAGGGUCAUAAUAAUAUCUCCAACAUAUAUGUCAAGGUAACGGAGUACCUCAACUUACUGAUUAGUGUGGUUAAUCUGGCCCAUGGGAACAUUGAAACGGGAAGAAAGGAUUUGCAAAUGCAUCAGACUACUUAGAAACCUGGGAUGACUCGGACAGCAUAACGGCUGUAAAUGCUCAGAAAGAUUUGAGACAUUCACAAAAAUGGUGGCAUAACCACUCAGAAGAACAAUAUCAAGGUUUCGAGAUCAACAAUUAACAUACAGAGGUAGAAACUGAACUGAGGCUUAAAUCCAACAAACUUAUAAGUCUACUGAUUAGUAACACGUGAUCCUAAUAGAAAGAAGAGAUAGCCUAGUUCUUAAUCCCCGUAGAAGAGAAGAUGACUCAGAUCAGAAGGGCAUAAGGUAUAAGGAAUAAAAAGAGCCUUACGUUCCAUCCCACAAUCAAUUCCCUUAUAUAACUAAAGAAUUUCUAGACUCAACUUCGACCAGUUUGGCUUGGUAAUCCUACAGGCAGUCAAGCUCUGAUACCAACGCUGUCAGGACCCCGACUCGAUGCCACAUAGAUCUAGCAUGUAACACUUCAUAUCACUUUGUGGCCUCACGCACGGUAUUCCCACGGGUGUCGCCUUACCUUUACCCGGGACCGUUUGCGCCUUUUGGCACACGUAUAUGACAGUGUCGCUAGCAUCCAUAUGAUAAAGAGCCCGGGCUGACAUGACUAGUCGUAAACCCAAAGUGGCACAGACUUACAAGGACAGGCAUCCAUGACCCAGCUUCGAACGUGUUGGUCAUCAGCAAGUGGGUCCGGGCUGUAGCACUGGGCUAGCAGGACUCCGGUAAACCGGGCUGUAGCGGGCUAACAGGACUCCGGUACUCAAAGCGUGACAUUUCCCCGAAGGGACAGACACAGGAACGAAGAAGGACACAUGCCGGCCAGCCUAAGUGUUCCGGAGCAGUAGCAAGCUACCAUGGUCAGUGGAACACUAGGAGACAUUUCCCGGUAAGAGAGGCUACUAAAGAUAAACAACUAGAUGGUCAGAUCCCACACAUACCAAGCAUUUCAAUAACAUACACACAAUAUGCUCGAUAUGUGCAAUACAACAUGGCAUCACAAAAUGACUCUACGACUCAAGUAGUUUAUUCAAUAGGCUCCGAGGAGCGAGACAUUACAAACAUGGGUCUCACGACCCAACAAUCAGAGCAUACAAGUCAAAGCACAAGCGGAAGCUAUCAUGUCUGAGUACAGACAUCUAUAAAUGAAAAAGGCUGAGAAGCCUGACUAUCUAUCAGAUCCUGCCGAGGGCACAAGAUCGUAGCUGAGGUAUCAAGCUAAACGUCGAAGUCCAAGCGGAACUACUAAUGAGACUGAAGUCUCUCUGCAAAACAUAAAAUAUGCAAACGUGAGUACAAAUGUACCCAGCAAGACUUACAUCAGAACUAACUACAUAUGCAUCAUUAUCAACAAAGGGAUGGUGGGGUUUAACUGCAGCAAGCCAGCUUUGACUCGGUGGCUAUCCUGAACUACGACUGCGAGUAACUUUUUGAGGUGGCGCACACGAGUCCACAUAUUCACCAUAUCAAUACACCACUAUGGAUCCGCUCCCGUCUCCCUACGAGAACGCCAUCCAUAGCACUCACGCUUAUCUUGCGUAUUUUAGGGUAUCCACUUUCACUUGUCUAUGAACUGAUAUAAGCAACCCAGAAGUCCUUUUCCGCGGACACGGCUAUUCGAAUAGAUCAUAUUAACCCUGCAGGGGUGUACUUCUUCACACACGCUCUCACCACUUACCGCCGUUUACACGACAUGUACUCGGCAACCUUCAAGCGGAAGCCCAACGUGGGUGUCGGCCACGACCUACCUAAUCACCUAAGUCUCUAGUCCAGGUUUAUCGCCUAUUCGGGUUCCAUCCAUGAGGAGAUCCGGCCGGAGUUUCGCUCACAGCCCCAAACGAUGUGUACAGGGUUCCGUGACACCAAACGGGUGCCCGGUUUACCCGGCCACGUGCCUACCGCAUCACAGCCCACCCCUACGGUCAGCGCUGUCCACGGCCUCUAGCAUACUACAAACACCAGAAACUACUUGCAACUCCUGGACAGAGGACAAGGGUGAUUAAGAAGCCGAGAGGGUCCAUUGGUUUCGGGCCCAAUGCGUGGUAGUAGCUGAAUCAUGGAUCACAAACACAGAACUCAGUUCCUGAGGACGGCUGCAAUGAGACAACCCACCAUGUACUCCUACAUGGCCUCUCACCGCUACCUUUACCAAAUCGUGUUCACACACUUAGCUCACACACAGUAGGACAUGUUCACACGCCUCUGAUUCAUCCCUGAUGAAUCAGACCUGACUCAACUCUAAGCAGUAGCAGGCAUGACAAACAAACAUGAAUGAGUAGGCACAACAGGGCUCAAACAACUCCUACUCAUGCUAGUGGGUUUCAUCUAUUUACUGUGGCAAUGACAGGUCAUGCAAAGGAUAAAGGGGUUCAGCUACCGCAGCAAGUAACAGAUGAAUCGGUGUUGUCCUAAUGCAGUAAAAGAGAGCAGGAGCGAGAGAGUAGGAUUGUAUCGGAAUGAACAAGGGGUUUUUGCUUGCCUGGCACUUCUGAAGAUAACAUUGAGUCUUCAUCAGUGUCAACGAUCACAUCAUCGGUAUCACGUCUAUCGAGAGGGGACAAAUACCGGCAACACAGAAGGGAACACAAUCAAUGCAAUGCACAAUAUGAUGCAUGAUCAUGACAUGGCAAAAUGAAUGUGUUUUGGGCUAAUGCAACUAGCACCAGAUUAAAUGAAGUUGGUUUGAAUCCAAGAUUCAAAUUCAAACUCCAUAUGUGGAUAUUUAAAUGCCCUUUAUUUGAUUUGUGCUAAACAGCAGCUAUAAGUUGUUCUAACAUGCAUGAAAAUGGUACAGAUGGAUUCCUUGAAUUUUUCUGAUAAUUUUUCAUAUAUAACUUAUUUCAUUUGGAGUUACGGUUAAUUUUCUAUGAUUUAUUGAAGUUUUAGCUAUUUUCUGAAAUUUAUAAAUCAUUUAGGAUUUAUUUAAAUUCCAGAACAAAUACUGCGUCAGCAUGACGUAAUAGUGACAUCAGCAGGGUCAACCGAGCGCCCCAGGUCAAACCUGACGUGUGGGACCCACACGUCAAUGACAGGGGGGGUUAACAGGGGUUUAUUUAGUUUAAUUAAAAGGUUAGGGGGGGUCGGGCCCACUGGUCAGCGGGGCCUAACCCGCCGGCGGCUUGACGCCGGCGAGGCCGAGACGGCGGAGAGGGUCGGAAUUCCUCCUCCAGCGACCAAAUGGCCGGCGGAGGGCAGCUACGUGACGCUGAAGAUCCCCCGCGUCGAGUGGUGCGGUCAGUUAGGCCGGGGGCGACCUAUAUCGACGGCGGCGAGCUCAAAGGCGGCGGCCGGAGUUCGGUGGUUGCGGCUGGAAGGGCUAGAGGGCACGGCAGGUUGCACGGGUGGGCGCGCUCGGCUCCUGGAAGGGUGCUGAGCACGUUGCCGUGCUCGGGAGUUGGCUACGGUGACUCUAGCACCGUCUGCGUCAUCGCCGGCGGCGAGGAACGGUCGGCUCCGACAGUCGGGGUGGUUAGAAGGCACGGACGGGCACGGGGAGAGAGGGGAAAUGGACAGGGGCUCACGAGGGGUCGGGAGAGAAGCUCGGUGGGCUCGGGGAGGCCUCUGCAACGGCGAAUUGACGACGGCGAUCUCCGGGCACCGGAGAUGAAGACGACGAUGCUCCGGUCGACUGCGGCCUCCUCUGGUCGCGUGCGUCGCGUGUGUAGCUCCACGGGGUCAGGGCGGAGCUCAGGGAUGCAUAGUGGGAGCGAGGGGGUGGCUGGCCGCGGUGUUUCUCAGCGGAGUGGCCAUGGCGGCUUCGGCCAUGAGGGGAAAGAGCAGGGGAGUGAGAGGGAGAGAGCAGGGAGAAGUGAGAGGGGUCGGGGCUGCGUGGCGUCGCGGGAGGAACCAGGGGAGGAGGAGGCAGCAGGAGGUGGAAGCAGGAGGUGGCGCUCGGGCGCGGGCGCGUCGACACGCCUCUGCCUACUGGCAGAGGUUGAAGACGGUGGGGAGCUGGGCUGGGCCUCACAGGUGGGCUGCACAGGGGGGCUGGGCUGGCACAGGUGAGCGCCAGGUAAUUCCCUUCUCUUUCUUUAUUUUUAUUUCUAUUUUAGUUACUGUUUUCUAUUUUCUGUAAUUGUGUUUGGAUUUAUUAAAAAUGCCAGAGCAUUUCCAAAAAUCAUGCAACUGACUGUGGCCACUGUUUGGAAUAUUUCCAGCAGUAAACAUUUCAGUUUGUGAUUAUUUGAGCAUUUAAAAUAUUAUUAGCAAUUAAAUGCCCAAAUGCAAAUACUAUAUAAUUUAAUUCAAAAAUCCAGGAAUAGCCUAUAACUAUGUUCAUCAUUUUUUGGAAGAGGUUUUCACCUCUAUCAGAAAUUAUGAACAUUUCCAAAGGGCAUUCUGGGUUAUUGAAAAUAUUUUUAUUGAACCUAGUUAAAUUUCAUUUGGUACUAGGGUUUCAACAAUCCCCAUUUCAAAUUUCUUUGGAAUUUAAACAUGAUGGCAUGAUGAACAAGCAAAGUCAAGCAAGGGCUGAACUGGGGCUGUGACACCUCAUUCCGGUAUGAUAACUCUUAAAGUAAUUUUUGUUUCUUAUAAGUUUAGUCCUUCAAGUCAUUCCUAGCCUUACCGGCUAUAUCAUUAUCUUGCAACUUUUUAACUAUGUUAUUUGGUCCUUCUUUCCGAAGCACAAUUUUUGACGUUGAGCUAAGCUUACGUUGGAUUUCCUCGUCAUAUCAUUUCUCCUUGAACAACAAGCUUGAUUUCGAGUUUGUGUCGUACCAUUGGUUCCAGUAACUUUUCGCUUCAUCAUUCCUGGGACUUGAUGUCAUCACCGGUCGGUUACAUCUUCAUGAAAUCUCUCGACUAAUGUGUCAGAUCAUCAUCAGCCUUCCGAUCUCUUCCAGGAUAUCAAUUGAAUUCAUGAUGAGAAAUAUCAUCCUUGCCCUCGAUGAUUUGUGUUAUCAUUUACCACCUUACUGCCUUCCCUCGAACACAAACUUGUUCGUGUUUUGUGUUAUACCUUGAGUUCCUUAUUAUCAAGCAUUUGAUCUUCUUUACCUUGGAGUAUUACCAUCUUUUAUGUCAGGAAUGUCGUGAGAAUUUCACCACCACUUAAAAAAUCUUGGUAUUGUGAUACUUCUCACGAGCACCAUUCUUUCUUGGCCCCAAUGUUGAUUCUCACCGGAAUACCAACAAGUGCACGGUGCUGCUUGUAUUCUGUACUCCUAGCAACCCUAUUGCGUUGGAGUUAAUGGUCGACAAAUCAUUCUUAGACUAUUGGAUAAUGAAUCACAAUUCUAACCUUGAUCGUGCUAUCUAAGACCAUAUUUCGGGUGCACCUUUCAACCAAUGUUUAACUGUGCAUGUUUUCCUCGAGAAUACCUCAUUACAUCAUUUGUUCUGACAAAUGUUAUCUCCUUGUUCGCAUAAUUGUGGAAAUCCACCUUUUUGGAAAUCUCGAGGAUUGCCGCUGACUGCAUCAGCUACCCCCUCAUCCUCUCCUUAUUUUAAAUGAUGAACUCUUGUGUCGGAACUCGCUCCCAUAGUUCAAUUCCCGAGAUCUUACAUUGUCAUCUCAUCAAUUUGUGUUGCACCUUUUCUUCUCAGGUAUCAUAAGUCUGAGGUAUCCUGACACCAAUCAGAUCUGAAUCUCGAUCACAUAUGAUGGUUGGAACAUAUUCCCAAGAGUUAUAACAGUGGUCUUUAACCCAAUAAGGUGAUGUCAUCCUAGCACACCUGGUCGGAGGACCUACUGUUAUAGUUUCCUUAUUAGCAAGGUUAUCCAUUCUUCCAUGAGGAAAUUGUAAGAUUUAUUCUACAAGUUGUUCCUCAUGGAUCCUUCCUGUAUCCAAAGUCUGAACUUUGCUUGAAGACCAUGUCAAUGCUAUCUUGAAGCAUGUUUAUGGUAAUCUGAUUUUCAAUAAGAACAUUUGAAGCACAAUGCUAAAAUUUCCUUAUUAAUUACCCCAAACACCGUUGUUUGGGUAAUGUCAUGAAAUUCCUCUCCCCUUACCUAAAAGGUUUUCUACUUUCUAUCCUGUCACGGAUAUCAUGCUCUACUUGUCCUUGGGAAUGAUAUACCGCUGAAACAUGUGUUUAAACACAUUUUCCUUUCCAUUGUUCUGUUUAAUCUAAUGAUCAUCUUUUCAUUUCUAUUGUUUUGUUUAAUCUUGUUGUGAUCUAUAUGAUCUAAGCAGUAUUAAUUCACUGCUUAUGUAAACACCUUGGUGUACAACUCUGUCAGUAACACCCUGUUUCUAUUGUUGAUGACAUUCCGGUAACCACCGAUGGAUGAGAACUUUGCCUAUUGGUCCGCCUCGUUCAACGAGCAGGAAACAUGGUUCUCUUCAUCCCUCGCCCUUGGUACCGACGUUGUUGCCGACAUAACCUACAGGCUAUUUCCCUGCCAUGUCUUGCUAUCAUAACCAUGCAAGAUGUCAGCGCCUUUCCUACUUUAAACCCACAUAAUGGACCCAUAACCCACAGUUCAACAGGAUUGAAACCUGACUCUCAUGUACAACCUAUUGUCAAAGUUAUUCCUCGCGCUUGACUUCUGAUACGUCUCCAACGUAUCUAUAAUUUUUGAUUGCUCCAUGCUAUGUUAUCUACCGUUUUGGGCAAUAUUGGGCUUUAUCCACUUUUAUAUUAUUUUUGGGACUAACCUAUUAACCGGAGGCCCAGCCCAGAAUUGCCAUUUUUUGCCUAUUUCAGUGUUUCAAAGAAAAGGAAUAUCAAACGGAGUCGAAACGGAACGAAAUCAACUGGAGAAGUUAUUUUUGGAAGGAAAGCUAUCGGAUGGACUUGGACCCCACAUCAGGAGCCAAGGGCGCGCCCCCCUAGGGCGCGCCCCCCUGCCUCGUGGGGCCCCUGAAGCUCCACCGAUGUACUUCCUGCACCCAUAUAUACUCACGUACCCUAAAACUUCCAAAACAGACAAUAGAUCAGGAGUUCCGCCGCCAGAAGUCUCCGUAGCCACCGAAAGCCAAUCUAGACCCGUUCUGGCACCCUGCCGGAGGAUGCAAUCCCUCUCCGGUGGCCAUCUUCAUCAUCCCGGUGCUCUCCAUGAUGAGGAGGGAGUAGUUCUCCCUCGGGGCUGAGGGUAUGUACCGGUAGCUAUGUGUUUGAUCUCUCUCUCUCUCUCGUGUUCUUGAGAUGGUACGAUCUUGAUGUAUCGCGAGCUUUGCUAUUAUAUUUGGAUCCUAUGAUGUUUCNNNNNNNNNNNNNNNNNNNNNNNNNNNNNNNNNNNNNNNNNNNNNNNNNNNNNNNNNNNNNNNNNNNNNNNNNNNNNNNNNNNNNNNNNNNNNNNNNNNNNNNNNNNNNNNNNNNNNNNNNNNNNNNNNNNNNNNNNNNNNNNNNNNNNNNNNNNNNNNNNNNNNNNNNNNNNNNNNNNNNNNNNNNNNNNNNNNNNNNNNNNNNNNNNNNNNNNNNNNNNNNNNNNNNNNNNNNNNNNNNNNNNNNNNNNNNNNNNNNNNNNNNNNNNNNNNNNNNNNNNNNNNNNNNNNNNNNNNNNNNNNNNNNNNNNNNNNNNNNNNNNNNNNNNNNNNNNNNNNNNNNNNNNNNNNNNNNNNNNNNNNNNNNNNNNNNNNNNNNNNNNNNNNNNNNNNNNNNNNNNNNNNNNNNNNCGUGCGUAUCUGUGGUGACAAUGGGAUACCACGUGAUUCACUUGAUGUAUGUUUUGGUGAUCAACUUGCGGGUUCCGCCCAUGAACCUAUGCAUAGGGGUUGGCACACGUUUUCGUCGUGAUUCUCCAGUAGAAACUUUGGGGCACUCUUUGAGGUUCUAUGUGUUGGUUGAAUAGAUGAAUCUGAGAUUGUGUGAUGCAUAUCGUAUAAUCAUACCCACGGAUACUUGAGGUGACAUUGGAGUAUCUAGGUGACAUUAGGGUUUUGGUUGAUUUGUGUCUUAAGGUGUUAUUCUAGUACAAACUCUAGGGCUGUGUGUGACACUUAUAGGAAUAGCCCAACGGAUUGAUUGGAAAGAAUAACUUUGAGGUGGUUUUGUACCCUACCAUAAUCUCUUCGUUUGUUCUCCGCUAUUAGUGACUUUGGAGUGACUCUUUGUUGCAUGUUGAGGGAUAGUUAUGUGAUCCAAUUAUGUUAUUAUUGUUGAGAGGACUUGCACUAGUGAAAGUAUGAACCCUAGGCCUUAUUUCCUAUCAUUGCAAUACCGUUUAUGCUCACUUUUAUCACUUGCUACCUUGCUGUUUUUAUAUUUUCAGAUUACAAAAACCUUUAUCUACUAUCCAUAUACCACUUGUAUCACCAUCUCUUUGCCGAACUAGUGCACCUAUACAAUUUACCAUUGUAUUGGGUGUGUUGGGGACACAAGAGACUCUUUGUUAUUUGGUUGCAUGGUUGUUUGAGAGAGACCAUCUUCAUCAUACUCCUCCUACAGAUUGAUAAACCUUAGGUCAUCCACUUGAGGGAAAUUUGCUACUGUCCUACAAACCUCUACACUUGUAGGCCCAACAACGUCUACAAGAAGAAGGUUGUGUAGUAGACAUCAAUCUUUUUUCUGGCGCCGUUGCCGGGGAGGUGAGUGCUUGAAGGUAUAUCUUUAGAUCUUGCAAUCAAGUCUUUUAGUUUCUUGUUUUAUCACUAAUUCAGUUUAUAAAAGAAAACUAUAAAAAAAUGGAAUUGAGUUUGUCUCAUACGCUUCACCUUUUUAAUAUCUUUCGUGAGUAUGAUGGAAAGGAAAAUUGUGCUCAAAUGCUAGGAGAAGAAUUACAUAAAAUGUUUGCACUAAAUUUUUGAAUGACGAGCAUGAUUGCAAUGUUUUUAGUAUGAAUUCCUUGAAUAUCUAUGAUGGUAAUGAUAUGCAAAACCACAAGCUUGGGGAAGCUACGUUGGAUGAAGAUGAUAUUUUUAGUCCCCCAUGUUUUGAUGUGCAAAUUUAUUAUGAUGAGAGCAUGCCCGCUCUAUAUGAUGAUUAUUGUGAUGAUUUGUAUGCUAUAAAGAAUAAUUAUAUCCAUGAAACUUGUCAUCAUGAUUUUAGUUUUCAAUUGGAUUAUGCCUCACAUGAUAAUUAUUUUGUUGAGUUUGCUCCCACUAUUCCGAAUGAGAAGAAUUUUGCUUAUGUGGAGAGUAAUAAAAUUUCAAUGCAUGUAGAUCAUGAAAAGAAUGCUUUAGGUGCUGGUUAUAUUGUUGAAUUCAUUCAUGAUGCUACUGAAAAUUACUAUGAGGGAGGAACAUAUGCUUGUACGAAUUGCAAUAAUAUCAAGUUUCCUCUCUAUGUGCUUAAUGUUUUGAAGCUAUGCUUGUUUUGCCUUCCUAUGCUAGUUGAUUAUUGUUCCCAUAAGUAGUUUGCUCACAAAAUCCCUAUUCAUAGGAAGUAUGUUAGACUUAAAUAUGCUAGUCAUAUUCUUCAUGAUGCUCUCUUUAUGUUUCAAUUCUUAUCUUUUAUGUGAGCAUCAUUGAAAUCAUCAUGCCUAGCUAGGGGCUUUAAACGAUAGCGCUUGUUGGGAGGCAACCCAAUUUUAUUUUUGUUCCUUAAUUUUUGUUCCUGUUUAGUAAUAUAUAAUUCAUCUAGCCUCUGUUUAGAUGUGGUUGUGUUUAAUUAGUGUUUGUGCCAAGUAGAACCUUUGGGAAGACUUGGGUGAAGUCUUUAUGAUCAUGCUGUAAAAAACAGAAACUUUAGCGCUCACGAGAACUGCUGCCAUUUUUAUUUGGAGAGUGAUAUUUAGUUAAUUAUUUUUUCCGAUGAUUAAUAGAUAAAUUCCUCAGGUCCAGAAAUUUAUUUGAGAACUUUAUGAGUUCCAGAAAUAUACGUUUGAUCCAGAUUACUACAGACUGUUUUGCUUUUGACAGAUUCUAUUUUUCAUGUGUUGUUUACUUAUUUUGAUGAAUCUAUGGCUAGUAAAAUAGUUUAUAAACCAUAGAGAAGUUGGAAUACAGUAGGUUUAACACCAAUAUAAAUAGAUAAAUAAUUCAUUACAGUACCUUGAAGUGGCGAUUUAUUUUCAUAUACUAACGGAGCUUACGAGUUUUCUGUUAAGUUUUGUGUUGUGAAGUUUUCAAGUUUUGGGUAAAGAUUUGAUGGACUAUGGAAUAAGGAGUGGCAAGAGCAUAAGCCUGGGGAUGCCCAAGGCACCCCAAGGUAAUAUUCAAGGACAACCAAGAGCCUAAGCUUGGGGAUGCCCCGGAAGGCAUCCCCUUUUUCGUCUUCGUUCAUCGGUAACUUUACUUGGAGCUAUAUUUUUAUUCACCACAUGAUAUGUGUUUUGCUUGGAGCGUCAAUUUAUUUUGUUAGGAUUUGCUUGCUGUUAUUUAUAACAAUGUUUUGCAUAUUUUAUUUCAAUAAAAGUGGCAUUGAUAGCCUUUACUAUGCCUAUGUUACAAGUGUGCAUGUUGCUGUUUGAAAACAGAAAGUUUACCGCUGUUGCAAUAAUUCCCUAGAAAAGUCAGAAUGUGAUAAAAUGUUGAAACCUUUUGAAUAUUAAGCUCUGAUAAAUUUACUACUGUGGGAAUUUUAUCUCAUAAUUUUUGGAGCUAGGGAAGUAUGGAUGUUGGUGCAUUCUUUACAGACUAUCCUGUUUAGGCAGAUUGCUGUUAUGUUUGCAUUGUUUGCAUAUGUUUGCUUCUUUAAUGAUUCUGUUUGAGGAUAGGACUAUUAAAUAUGCAGAGGCCUUUAGUAUGCAAUGUUGAAUAAUAAUUUUAGUGAUUUGCUACAGUAGAGUAUGAUAAGGAUUUUGCAAUGGUUUAUACUAACUUAUCUCACGAGUCCUUGUUGAGUUUUGUGUGGAUGAAGCUUUUGAGAUUUUGGGAGACCGUGAUAUGAGAGGAAUUAAGGAGACACAAAAGCUCAAGCAUGGGGAUGCCCAAGUCACCCCAAGAUAAUAUUUCAAGAAGUCCCAAGCGUCUAAGCUUGGGGAUGCCCCGGUUGGCAUCCCACCUUUCUUUUUCAACAACUAUCGGUUAGUUCCGGUCGAUCCUAAGUUUUUGCUUCUUCACAUGAUGUUUGCUAUUCUUAGAUGUCAUUUUAUUUUGCUUUGCUUGCUGUUUGAAUAAAAUACCAAGAUCUGAAAUUGUUAAAUGUUAGAGAGUCUUCACAUAAUUGCAUAAUUAUUCGACUACUCAUUGAUCUUCACUUAUAUCUUUCGGAGUAGUUUGUCAUUUGCUCUAGUGCUUCACUUAUAUCUUUUAGAGCAUGGUGGUAGUUUUAUUUUGAAGAAAUAGAUGAACUCUCAUGCUUCACUUAUAUUAUUUUGAGAGUCUUAAAUAGCAUGGUAAUUUGCUUAAAAUCCUAAUAUGCUAGGUAUACAAGAUUAAUAAUAAAAUUCUCUUAUGAGUGUUUUGAAUACUAAGAGGAGUUUGAUGCUUGAUGAUUGUUUUGAGAUAUGGAGGUAAUAAUAUCAAAGUCGUGCUAGUUGAGUAGUUGUGAAAUUGAGAAAUGCUUGUGUUGAAGUUUGCAAGUCCCGUAGCAUGCACGUAUGGUAAACGUUGUGUAACAAAUUUGAAACAUGAGGUGUUAUUUAAUUGUCCUCCUUAUGAGUGGCGAUCGGGGACGAGCAAUGGUCUUUUCCUACCAAUCUAUCCCCCUAGGAGCAUGCGUGUAGUGCCGAGGUUUUUGAUGACUUGUAGAUUUUUGCAAUAAGUAUGUGAGUUCUUUAUGACUAAUGUUGAGUCCAUGGAUUAUACGCACUCUCACCCUUCCAUCAUUGCUAGCCUCUUCGGUACCGUGCAUUGCCCUUUCUCACAUUGAGAGUUGGCGCAAACUUCGCCGGUGCAUCCAAACCCCGUGAUAUGAUAUGCUCUGUCACACAUAAACCUCCUUAUAUCUUCCUCAAAAUAUCCACCAUACCUACCUAUUAUGGCAUUUCCAUAGCCAUUCCGAGAUAUAUUGCCAUGCAACUUUCCAUCGUUCCAUUUAUUAUGACACGCAUCAUCAUUGUCAUAUUGCUUUGCAUGAUCAUGUAGUUGACAUUGUAUUUGUGGCAAAGCCACCGUUCAUAAUUCUUUCAUACAUGUCACUCAUGAAUCAUUGCACAUCCCGGUACACCGCCGGAGGCAUUCAUAUAGAGUCAUACUUUGUUCUAGUAUCGAGUUGUAAUCAUUGAGUUGUAAAUAAAUAGAAGUGUGAUGAUCAUCAUUAUUAGAGCAUUGUCCCAAGUGAGAAAUAAAAAAAGGCCAUAAAAAGAGAAGGCCCAAAAAAGAGAAAGUCCAUAAAAAGAGAGAAAAGGCCCAAAAAAUGAAUGAGAGAAAAAGAGAGAAGGGACAAUGUUACUAUCCUUUUACCAUACUUGUGCUUCAAAGUAGCACCAUGAUCUUCAUAGUAGAGAGUCUCUCAUGUUAUCAUUUUCAUAUACUAGUGGGAAUUUUUCAUUAUAGAACUUGGCUUGUAUAUUCCAACAAUGGGCCUCCUCAAGUGCCCUAGGUCUUCGUGGGCAAGCAAGUUGGAUGCACACCCACUAGUUUUUUUUGUUGAGCUUUCAUACAUUUAUAGCUCUAGUGCAUCCGUUGCAUGGCAAUCCCUACUCCUUCCAUUAACAUCAAUCGAUGGGCAUCUCCAUAGCUCAUUGAUUAGCCUCGUUGAUGUGAGACUUUCUCCUUUUUGUCUUCUCCACAUAACCCCCAUCAUCAUAUUCUAUUCCACCCAUAGUGCUAUAUCCACGGCUCGCGCUCAUGUAUUGCAUGAAGGUUUAUGAGUUUGAGAUUACUAAAGUAUGAAACAAUUGAUUGGCUUGUCAUCGGGGUUGUGCAUGAUGAGAGCAUUCUUGUGUGACGAAAAUGAAACAUGACUAAACCAUAUGAUUUCGUAGGGAUGAACUUUCUUUGGCCAUGUUAUUUUGAGAAGACAUAAUUGCUUAGUUAGUAUGCUUGAAGUAUUAUCAUUUUUAUGUCAAUAUGAACUUUUGUCUUGAAUCUUUCAGAUCUGAAUAUUCAUACCACAAUUAAGAAGAAUUACAUUAAAAUUAUGCCAAGUAGCACUCUGCAUCAAAAAUUCUGUUUUUAUCAUUUAUCUACUCGAGGACGAGCAGGAAUUAAGCUUGGGGAUGCUUGAUACGUCUCCAACGUAUCUAUAAUUUUUGAUUGCUCCAUGCUAUGUUAUCUACUGUUUUGGGCAAUAUUGGGCUUUAUUAUCCACUUCUAUAUUAUUUUUGGGACUAACCUAUUAACCGGAGGCCCAGCCCAGAAUUGUUGUUUUUUGCCUAUUUCAGUGUUUCGAUGAAAAGGAAUAUCAAACAGAGUCGAAACGGAACGAAAUCAACUGGAGAAGUUAUUUUUGGAAGGAAAACUAUCGGAUGGACUUGGACCCCACGUCAGGAGCCAAGGGAGGUGCUCACGAGGGUGGGGGCACCCCCCCCCUAGGGCGCGCCCCCUGCCUCGUGGGGCCCCCGAAGCUCCACCAACGUACUUCCUGCACCCAUAUAUACUCACGUACCCUAAAACUUCUAGAACAGACAAUAGAUCGGGAGUUCCGCCGCUAGAAGUCUCCGUAGCCACUGAAAGCCAGUCUAGACCCGUUCCAGCACCCUGCCAGAGGGGGAAAUCCCUCUCCGGUGGCCAUCUUCAUCAUCCCGGUGCUCUCCAUGACAAGGAGGGAGUAGUUCUCCCUCGGGGCUGAGGGUAUGUACCAGUAGCUAUGUGUUUGAUCUCUCUCUCUCUCUCUCUCUCGUGUUCUUGAGAUGGUACGAUCUUGAUGUAUCGCGAGCUUUGCUAUUAUAUUUGGAUCCUAUGAUGUUUCUUCCCCCCCCCCUCUACUCUCUUGUAAUGAAUUGAGUUUCCCCUUUGAAGUAAUCUUAUCGGAUUGAGUCUUUAAAGAUUUGAGAACACUUGAUGUAUGUCUUGCCGUGCGUAUCUAUGGUAACAAUGGGAUACCACGUGAUUCACUUGAUGUAUGUUUUGGUGAUCAACUUGUGGGUUCCGCACGUGAACCUAUGAGGGGUUGGCACACGUUUUCGUCGUGAUUCUCUAGUAGAAACUUUGGGGCACUCUUUGAGGUUCUAUGUGUUGGUUGAAUAGAUGAAUCUGAGAUUGUGUGAUGCAUAUCGUAUAAUCAUACCCACGGAUACUUGAGGUGACAUUGGAGUAUCUAGGUGACAUUAGGGUUUUGGUUGAUUUGUGUCUUAAGGUGUUAUUCUAGUACGAACUCUAGGGCUGUGUGUGACACUUAUAGGAAUAGCCCAACGGAUUGAUUGGAAAGAAUAACUUUGAGGUGGUUUCGUACCCUACCAUAAUCUCUUCAUUUGUUCUCCGCUAUUAGUGACUUUGGAGUGACUCUUUGUUGCAUGUUGAGGGAUAGUUAUGUGAUCCAAUUAUGUUAUUAUUGUUGAGAGGACGUGCACUUGUGAAAGUAUGAACCCUAGGCCUUAUUUCCUAUCAUUGCAAUACCGUUUAUGCUCACUUUUAUCACUUGCUACCUUGCUGUUUUUAUAUUUUCAGAUUACAAAAACCUUUAUCUACUAUCCAUAUACCACUUGUAUCACCAUCUCUUCGCCGAACUAGUGCACCUAUACAAUUUACCAUUGUAUUGGGUGUGUUGGGGACACAAGAGACUCUUUGUUAUUUGGUUGCAGGGUUGUUUGACAGAGACCAUCUUCAUCCUACGCCUCCUACGGAUUGAUAAACCUUAGGUCAUCCACUUGAGGAAAAUUUGCUACUGUCCUACAAACCUCUGCACUUGGAGGCCCAACAACGUCUACAAGAAGAAGGUUGUGUAGUAGACAUCAACUUCGUAUGUAAUUCACGAGCCACCUGCCUAGUGAUCUAUUCUGGUAUCAGAAACAAUACUAUUUCCCGUUUCUCUGAACCCCUUUCACACUUUGUUCUAGGCAUCGAACAAUUGUCUACCUACUUAAAACUUCUCAUGGUACCUUCUUACUUGGCUCUCGAUAUGUUUCAUCCGUUCAACUCGAGAGAUACUCUUGUGUUCAUCCCUGGGAUAACCCCAAAUGAUUUCCCCUUAUACCAUUCUAUCGUUCUAGAGCAGCCCCUUACCUAUUCGUAAGUACGACAUAAUUUUCGAAGAAAGGAGGACGACGUCAUCAUGAUGACCUGAAAAGAAGAGAAAUAAAGACACCAACGAGGAGGAUCAAGUACUUCAGGAAGAGCAACCAAGACCGAGAACACUCCUUAGAAUUUCGUAACCAAAUCCCUUCCCCGUCACUCCACAUCUUAAAAUCUCGGGAUGAGAUUUCUUGUAGUGGAGGAGAAUUGUGACGCCCGGAUAAUUAAGCUACAGUAACCACACCUUAAUUGUGCCAUGUCAUCACGAUUAAUUUUCUAAGCCUCACCUUGAUCCAAACCAAACUCGAAUUCAAAAUCAAAUGCAAGUCAAUUUAUUAAAUUUACAAAUAAUAAAACAAAAAUGUAGGCUGGUUUGAAAUAAAUCCUUAACUAUUUUUCAUGAAUUACCCAACAUCUUUUGAAUUAAUAAAAUGCCCCUAUCCAUUUAAAACUGAGUUAGCAACAACUAAAUUUACCGUUUCAAUUUAAAUAGAUAUCCAACCUUUUCAAAAUAAAUUGUAACUUUCUGGGUUGCUUUAAAAUAUUGCCUAGUGAUUAUGUGCUAAGUGGCACAUUUGAAAAAGUUGUUUUGAUAGCUAAAAAAAUAGAAAACAAUAGGGAAAAUAUAAAACAGUAAUUAGUAAAUGCAGAAGGAACCGAACUACUAUGCACUUUAGCCCGGUAUGAACAGUUGCUAGCCUAGCCCACUGAACCGGCCUAGCCCAACUCCUCCCCUCUGUCUUCUUCGUUCUCUGUUCACCAAGCGCGGUGGAUGACCGUGCAUCGUUCAUGAAUGUAUUAGCCACGGGGCGGCUAUCCCGCGCCUCCCCGUCGUCUCCCAGCGGCGGAUAAGAACGGCCCCAAGCCCCCUGGAUCGAACCCUAUCUCCUUCUUCCCCUUCCAUUCGCUCCUCCGCUCGAACCCAAAGCCCCCUGAAGCCUCGCGGCCGCGUUGCCCUCAUCGCCGUGGCCACCGACCUCCCCACGGCCAGCCAAGGCGCCCAGGAGGACCGCCGACAUUGUCUCUUCGACUACGAGGACGCGUUCGAGCUCAGAGCACCUACAUUGACUGGAUCGAGGCGCCUUUGUCCGCGAGACCCGACCCUGUUCGUCGCCGCCGCGUCGCUCCUCCGGUCCACCUCGACUCCCUGCGACUUCCUCGACCACACCACGAGCUCACUGUGAGCUCCUUCCCCGAAUCCCCAUUCUUCCCACCUCGAUUCGUUUGCGUAGCCACCGUCCACGAAUUCGUCCGAGCUCCCGCGUACGCGCGUGUUUGAGCCGCCUCUGCUACUGCCUUCUCACUGCUGCACUGCUGCUCCUUGGCCGCGCGGCCGGCGUCCCCUGCCCCCUGACCUCGUUCGCUCACACCGGCCACGCCCCCGGGCUCCCCUGCCCGUGCUACGCUUUCACCCGCACCUGCCAGCCUCUCCCAUCUGCCUGGCCGUGCUCGCCCGCGCCGCUCAAGCUUCCUACACGCGCGCUCGCCGCAGCUGCCGACGCUGCCACCGCCCCUGCUAGUCCUGCGCGCGCCCGCCGGAACACUUGCCGCCGCCUCCGCCUGCCGCUAGAUCCGGCAACGCGGCCCGAGCCGCAUCCGGCCGUGCGCGGUGUUGCCUGGCCGCCUCCGCGCCAUGCCGAUGACUGCUGCUGCUCUAAACGUACUGCUGCUGCUGAAUGCUACUGUAUCUAUGGCUAGCUUUGCGAAUAUUACACUGACUAACCCCCUUGACAGCCUCUAAUCAGCGGGUAAACAACUACUAAUAGGCCAAGAAAAAUUAUGAAUAGAAAGUAUACUUUCGAUGAACGGAUUAAAUUGUAUGAAAAUCACAAAAGGCUAUCUUCUGUUAACAAAGAACAUAAUUAACCCCUAGUUGUGUGUGUGCGUGUGUGUUCUGUGUUUGUGAGGCCAGCCCCAUGUUCAAUUAGUUUAGGGUUAAUUAGUAUUUAGGUUAGCUACUAGCAGAUGACAUGUGGACCCCAUUAAUUAGGUUAGUAUUUAUUUAUUUGUUUAGGUAUAGCCUAUGACAUGUGGGAUCCACUUCUACUAUUCAUGUGUUGACCAGUCAAAUGUUGACUGGUUCAACCCAGCCCCACUGGCCCCGCUGUCAUACAUUGUGGCUAGAAUAGUGCUAGGUGGCAAAGUAUUUCACUAUUUAUGAUUCGAGUUAAAUAAAUUCUAGAAAUCUUUUAAACUUUGAAAAUUCAUAUAAAAUUAACCAUAACUCGGAUGAAAAUACUUUGAACAUGAAAGUUACUCAGAUCGACGAGACGAAUCCGAAUACGUAGUCUGUUCGUCCACCACACAUCCCUAGCAUAGCGAACAUGCAACAAUACCCCUCCGGUUCGUCUGUCCAAAAACGUCAAACAUCGGGAAUACUUUCCCGGAUGUUUUCCCCCUUCGCCAGUAGCACCUACUACUACGUUAGGUCACCUCUAGCACUGUGUAAUGCCAUGUUACACUUUGUGAUGCUUUGACUGCUUUGUUAUUUAUUGUGUUCCCCCUCCGUUACUUCUUUCCGGUAGACCUCGAGACUGCCGGCGAACCCCAGUUCGACUAUGGUGUUGAUGACCCCUCCUUGCCAGAGCAACCAGGCAAGCCCCCCCCCCUUGAUCACCAGAUAUCGUCUAUUCUUCUCUAUACUGCUUGCAUUAGAGUAGUGUAGCAUGUUACUGCUUUCCGUUAAUCCUAUCCUGAUGCAUAGCCUGUGCUUGCUACUACUGUUGUUACCUUUACCUGCAAUCCUACAUGCUUAGUAUAGGAUGCUAGUAUUUCAUCUGUGGCCCUACAUUCUUGUCCAUCUGUUGUGCUAUACUAUCGGGCUGUGAUCACUCGGGAGGUGAUCACGGGUAUAUACUAUAUACUUUAUACAUGAUACAUGUGGUGACUAAAGUCAGGUCGGCUCGUGGAGCACCCGCGAGCGAUUCACGGAUUGGGGGCUGAAAGGACCUUUGUCCCAACGGCCCUCUGUGUGGAUCUUUGUGGCGGAGCGACAGGGCAAGUUGAGACUACCUAGGUGAAAGGUGGGCCUGGCCCUGGUUGGCGUUCGCGGUUAUUUCAAGAGAACACGUUUAACGAGAUCUUGGUAUUUGAUCUGAGUCUGGCCACUGGCCUAUACGCACUAACCAUCUAUGCGGGGACAGUUAUGGGCACUCGACAUCGUGGUAUCAGCCGAAGCCUUCGUGACGUCAGUGACUGAGCAGCGCGCGCCGCAUUGGACCGUAAGCUCGCGCUUGUAUUAAGGGGGCUAGGUCUGCUUCCGGCCGCGUACGCAACGUGCAGGUGUGCAAUGGGCGAUGGGCCCAGACCCCUGCGCCAUAGGAUUUAGACCGGCGUGCUGACCUCUCUGUUGUGCCUAGGUAGGGCUGCGACGUGUUGAUCUUCCGAGGCCGGGCAUGACCGAGGAAAGUGUGUCCGGACAAAGGGGAUCGAGCGUGUUGGGAAAUGUGGUGCACCCCUGCAGGGAAGUUAAUCUAUUCGAAUAGUUGUGAUCUUCGGUAACAGGACGACUUGGAGUUGUACCUUGACCUUAUGACAACUAGAACCGGAUACUUAAUAAAACACACCCUUCCAAGUGCCAGAGACAACCGGUGACCGCUCUCUCACCGGGAGAUGAGGGGAGGAUCAUCGGGUAGGAUAAUGCUAUGCGAUGUUACUUGGUGAACUUACCUUCUACUCUCUUCUCCUGCUGCAAGAUGGAGGUUACCAGAAGCGUAGUCUUCGAAAGGACUAGCUAUCCCCCUCUUAUUCCGGCAUUCUGCAGUUCAAUCCACAUAUGACACCCCCUUUUCCAUUUGAUACCAAUGCAUACAUAUGUAGUGUAGCUCCUUGCUUGCGAGUACUUUGGAUGAGUACUCACGGUUGCUUUGCUCCCUCUUUUCCCCCUUCCUAUACCCGAUUGCUGCGACCAGACAAUGGAGCCCAGGAGUUAGACGCCACUGUCGAUGAUGACUACUACUACUCGGGAGGUGCCUACUUCUACGUGCAGCCCGCUGACGACGACCAGGAGUAGUUUAGGAGGAUCCCAGGCAGGAGG
rnacentral:lncRNA from 1 species